AGAUCAUUUGUUCAGACGUUUUUUUUGAAACGUCAUUCAUGUUCUUUUGAUAAACGCAGUAUCUUGCGUCAGCGUCACCAAAUAUUCAAGCGGUGAAAGAAA